rnacentral:lncRNA from 1 species
CUAAAAGGGGGUGGGGUGGGGGUGGGUGGAAGAAGCAGAAGAAUGCAUGUCAUGCGAGAUUAUUAACUACAAUUUCUGAUGGAAAGUUCCAAAUUCCCUUUGAACAACUGCCUUGGGGCAAGUCCUGUAGGAAGCACAGAACUCACAUAUAAUAUGUCAUUAACUGGGCUUAUGAUUUCCUUGGAGUGUUUAUAGGUUGAGUUAGGAUGUGGUAUGCAUAAGUCAUAUGCAAAAUCACUGUGCGUUUAUUGCUUCCUCUGCCAGUCAACUGGGGGAAAACCAUGAAGCUGCAGAGGCAUCUCCGGUAUGCUUGAAAACUAAGCUUUUACCUUUAUUUAACCUCAGAAGCUAACUCUGACCUACUCAGUCUUAUACAGCUAUUGUGAUAAACAUUCUCAGAACCUUGAGGUAUGUGGACACUUCUAGACACUUCUACUGUAGAGAAGGAAAAACUCAAACAUCUUUUCUCAGCCUUUCUAACGCUUGACAGUUAGAAGAGAUAUUGUUUCUGGAAAAAUAAAGGAAAAUAACAUUAGGUUGGCUUACAUUCUUCACUUCUGAUUUAUUGCAUUUGGUGAGCUGUAGCUGUAGAGAAAUUAUGGGCUGAAUUGGUGCAAGUCCAGUGCUAAUGGGACCAUAGUUCAUUGGUCUGGAUUAUCUCUUGCUUACAAUCAUAACUCUGACUCUAUCUGGCACAGGUCUCACUUUCCCAUCAGGAUUAUGGCAUCCUCAGAACCUUCCUUCUUGAGACGAUGAUGGGGGUGAUACUCCAAUCUAGUGACUAAAGUCAACUGCAGUUUUCCCUGAGAUCUUGAACAUGUUUAAGAUCUGUCUACUCAAUGUCUUUUCUAAGGAGUUUGGAAAGACAUUGAAUGGGUGUCCUCAUCUACAUGCUUCUCCUGCAUACAACAGCAGGCCACAGAGUCCAUUUCUUCUCUUUGCCUGGUAUCCUAGACUCAGAGUCUAGUAUCUUAGACUCAGAGAAAUUCUUACUGAUUUAGCAGACCAUCAGAAUAGACUUACUGACAAAUAUUUAAUGAUAUCAAACAAUACUAAUCUUACUAUUAGGUGGUAUAAUGGGAAGUAAGCAAAACACUAAAGCAUCGGACACUUGGCAUUAACGUGAUCUUUCUUGAAAUCUUAGUAUUAAACUCCACCUUCCCAAUAGCCCCGAGAAGCAGGUUCUACCUCUGUAUCCAGCUGAUGAUAGUGGAGGGAAAAGAAUAGGCCAGUUUCCUCACGGAAGGCAGCUACAGCUCAAAGAAAGAGCCAGCGAAGGCUUCAGGUUACUCCAAAAGACAGUGGUAAAAUAACCAUCGCUGUAUUCAAUUUGCUUGACUUCUGUAGAGUAUUUGCCACAUGUGGAUUUCCCCAAUUUAGAAAAUCAGAGGUUCAAUUAUUGAAAAACUGCAAAGUGGAAAAAGCACAAUUCUGUGUGAACACUUCUUUCCCAAUGUGUUAGAAACAGACAAUAUUAAGCUGUCCACAGCCAUUCCUUCUGUCUCCUGUACAAAUAAAGUAAGUGAGAUCAGUGUGGGCUUAUUUAUCCUUGUUGAGGAAAGAUCUAAAUUACUCCUCUUGAGAUUUUUCCACUUAGAACUGGUUUGCCUAAUGGUAGAUUGACAAAUUAACAGACUUAAACUUCAAGCAACUUUCACUCUUCAGAAAAAGUACAAAAGCUUCAAGCUCUUUUUAUUUUGGUGAGGAUCAAUUUUACCUGUGGGUUUUUUUCAGUAGCUUUACAGAAUUCUUGAUCCAGAAUCUUGAACUGCUAGGUUCAACACUACUUAAAACAACACACACACUCCUUACAACACACACACACACACAAACACACACACAUAACCAAACC